rnacentral:rRNA from 1 species
AGCUCCGAUAACGUAUAUUAAAGUUGUUGCGGUUAAAAAGCUCGUAGUUGGAUUUCUGCAGAGGACGACCGGUCCGCCCUCUGGGUGAGUAUCUGGCUCGGCCUGGGCAUCUCCUUGGAGAGCGUAGCUGCACUUGACUGUGUGGUGCGGUAUCCAGGACUUUAAGGAAAUUAGAAUGUUUCAAGCAAGCACGCGCCUUGAAUACAUUAGCAUUGAAUAAUAAGAUAGGACCUCGGUUCUAUUUUGUUGGUUUCUAGAGCUGAGGUAAUGAUUAGUAGGGAUAGUUGGGGGCGUUCGUAUUUAAUUGUCAGAAGUGAAAUUCUUGGAUUUGCUAAAGACGGACUACUGCGAAAGCGUUUGCCAAAGAUGUUUUCA